rnacentral:rRNA from 1 species
AACGAACGCUGGCGGCGCGCCUAACACAUGCAAGUCGAGCGAUUAAAGCUUCUUCGGAAGUAUAUAAAGCGGCGGACGGGUGAGUAAGGCAUAGAUGAUCUGCCCUAAAGAGGGGGAUAGCUCAGGGAAACUUGGGUUAAUACCGCGUAAGCUGAACGAGUGAUGUCGUUUAGUAAAGGCUUCGGCCGCUUUAGGAUGAGUCUAUGUUGGAUUAGAUAGUUGGUGAGGUAACGGCUCACCAAGUCAACGAUCUAUAACUGGUCUGAGAGGAUGAUCAGUCACACUGGAACUGAGACACGGUCCAGACUCCUACGGGAGGCAGCAGUGAGGAAUUUUGCGCAAUGGGCGAAAGCCUGACGCAGCGACGCCGCGUGGAGGAUGAAGUCUCUCGAGAUGUAAACUCCUGUCAGUGGGAACGAUAAUGACGGUACCCACAGAGGAAGCACCGGCUAACUCCGUGCCAGCAGCCGCGGUAAGACGGAGGGUGCGAGCGUUGUUCGGAAUUACUGGGCGUAAAGCGUACGUAGGCGGUUGGUUAAGUCGGUGGUGAAAUCUUGCCGCUUAACGGUAAAAUUGCCAUUGAUACUGAAGUUCUUGAAUAUGGUUGAGGUAGGCGGAAUGUGUUGUGUAGCGGUGAAAUGCAUAGAUAUGACACAGAACGCCGAUUGCGAAGGCAGCUUACUAAGCCAUUAUUGACGCUGAGGCACGAAAAGCGUGGGGAGCGAACAGGAUUAGAUACCCUGGUAGUCCACGCCGUAAACGAUGUUCACUCGCUGUCUGCGAUACACAGUAGGCGGCUAAGCGAAAGCAUUAAGUGAACCACCUGGGGAGUACGAUCGCAAGGUUGAAACUCAAAGGAAUUGACGGGGGCCCGCACAAGCGGAGGAACAUGUGGUUUAAUUCGAUGAUACGCGAGGAACCUUACCUGGGCUUAAAUGUAGAUUGCAUAAUUUAGAAAUUUUUUUCCUUCGGGACUCUUUACAAGGUGCUGCAUGGUUGUCGUCAGCUCGUGCCGUGAGGUGUCGGGUUAAGUCCCAUAACGAGCGCAACCCCUAUCGUUAGUUGCCAGCGAGUCAAGUCGGGGACUCUAACGAGACUGCCGGUGUAAACCGCGAGGAAGGUGGGGAUGACGUCAAAUCAGCACGGCCCUUACGUCCAGGGCUACACACGUGUUACAAUGGCCGAUACAAAGGGCAGCUACCAGGUGACUGGAUGCUAAUCUCGAAAGUCGGUCUUAGUUCGGAUCGAAGUCUGCAACUCGACUUCGUGAAGCUGGAUUCGCUAGUAAUCGUAGAUCAGCAAUGCUACGGUGAAUACGUUCCCGGGCCUUGUACACACCGCCCGUCAAGCCAUGGAAGCUGGGGGUACCUGAAGUCUGUCACCGCAAGGAGCGGCCUAGGGUAAAACUGGUAACUGGUGUU